GGAAAGGGCAAAAAUGCCCCUCACCUGUUGUGUGGGUUGAAAAACAAGAAGUUAUUUAAUGCUGUGUUAGUGGUAGCUGUGAAUUUAGAGAGAACUUGUUGGGUUGCUAGCUGUUUCUUUGUACCUGAGAGCUAGUAGGGUAGUGGGUCUCUGGUGGAAGGAAGAGCCUGAAGUGAGGAGUCUUUGCUGGUUAUCCUCAGGUGGGGAAAGAGAGCCAGCUGCCUGCCGAGGAAACUCAACGCAGUGGCAUGGCCUCUUUCCUUCAAACCUGCUGGCUCUUUAUUACCUUGAUGUUUGCCAGGCACUUGCAGAUGGUUUUAAUGCAGGACCACUCUAAGGAGACUGUGUUCUCUUACUGAUCGUUGUCCAAGUGUUCAGAUCUUGAUGUUGACUUCAUGGCCAUCUUGAGCUUAGGCAUGGUUUUAGGAAUGGCUUAGCUUGUGUGUUUCAGGAUUGAGUUUAAUAUAAACUAAAAACUACUGCUUUCUGUCUGAAAAACAAACACCCUCAGAAAGUAUCAAAAAUGAUUCUUAAGAAAAGUGGCUUUUUCACUCAAAUGGAUUUUAUGUCCCUGUAAUUUGGGAUGCAUCAUGGCUGGUUGUGCUUCAUAGCAUCUGAUGGACUGGGCUCUGACCAGAUACCAUGGACGUGUCUCAGCAAACUGGGAAUGCUUUGGAAUGCUUGUUGAGAGCCAGCCAUGUGCCACAGUGGACAUAUGACCCGGAAAAGAAAGUUUCCUGUUUGUAAAUGUGGGUAUAAUUUGUAAGCAUGAAGAAGAUGACUGUGAGAAAUGUUACAUGUAUUUCCCCAUUCAACAAACUAUAUGCAAAGGAAUGAUUUUAACAUCAGGGUUGAGGAGGGAGAAGCAAAGGGAAAAUAAUUUUGUGGAGUGUUGAUUGUUUUCCAUUUAGCUUUUGGAGAUGCAUUUAUUUCAGUGCACAAUAGUGAGUACUGUUUGCUUGUCAUCUGUGAGAAAACCGAGCAGUGCAGAAAGGGCAGGCAAAUGGCUGCAAGCAGGAUUGCAUGGGACCUUGUAGGGCUCC
rnacentral:lncRNA from 1 species